rnacentral:rRNA from 1 species
UGAGUACGAGACGCUAAGGCGUCGAAGUAGUGGAUGUCAUACUUCCAAGAAAAGCUUGCACUGUCAUAAAUAAGAAAUGCCUGUACCAUAACCGACACAGGUGGGUAAGUAGAGUAUACUAAGGGGCGCGAGAUAACUCUCUCUAAGGAACUCGGCAAAAUAACUCCGUAACUUCGGGAGAAGGAGUGCCUUAUUCUUAAGGUUGCAAUAACAAGAUCCAAGCAACUGUUUAUCAAAAACACAGGUCUCCGCUAAGUCGUAAGACGAUGUAUGGGGGCUGACGCCUGCCCAGUGCCAGAAGGUUAAGGAAGUCGGUUAGCAAUAGCAAAGCUGGUAACUGAAGCCCUGGUGAACGGCGGCCGUAACAAUAACGGUCCUAAGGUAGCGAAAUUCCUUGUCGGGUAAGUUCCGACCCGCACGAAAGGCGUAAUGAUUUGGAUGCUGUCUCGGAGAGGGGCUCGGUGAAAUAGACUUGUCUGUGAAGAUGCGGACUACCUGCACCAGGACAGAAAGACCCUAUGAAGCUUUACUGUAACUUGAAAUUGAAAUUGGACUUUAUUCGCGCAGUAUAGGUGGGAGGCGUUGAUUAUAAUCUUGUGGGAUUAUUGGAGCCAUCAGUGAGAUACCACUCUUGUAAUGUUAGAUUUCUAACUUUGAAUCAUUAUCUGGUCAAAGGACAGUUUCAGGCGGGCAGUUUGACUGGGGCGGUCGCCUCCUAAACGGUAACGGAGGCGUACAAAGGUUUCCUCUGAACGGUUAGAAAUCGUAUCUAGAGUGUAAAGGCAUAAGGAAGCUUGACUGUGAGACCUACAAGUCGAGCAGGGACGAAAGUCGGUCUUAGUGAUCUGACGGUACUGAGUGGAAAGGCCGUCACUCAACGGAUAAAAGUUACUCUAAGGAUAACAGGCUGAUCUCCCCCAAGAGUUCACAUCGACGGGGAGGUUUGGCACCUCGAUGUCGGCUCAUCGCAUCCUGGGGCGGUAGUACGUCCCAAGGGUUGGGCUGUUCGCCCAUGAAAGCGGUACGCGAGCUGGGUUCAGAACGUCGUGAGACAGUUCGGUCCAUAUCCGGUGUAGGCGCUAGAAUAUUGAGAGGAGCCUCCUUUAGUACGAGAGGACCGAGAAGGACAUACCUCUGGUGUACCAGUUAUCGUGCCAACGGUAAACGCUGGGUAGCUAUGUAUGGAGUGGAUAACCGCUGAAAGCAUCUAAGUGGGAAGCCCACCUCAAGAUAAGUAUUCUCAUCACGUAAGUGAGUAAGGUCACGGUAAGACUAACCGUUUGAUAGGCAUUAAGUGUAAGUACAGUAAUGUAUGUGCUGAGAUGUCCUAAUAGACCGAGGACUU